GCAAGUCGAGGGGUAACAGGGGAGCUUGCUUCUGCUGACGACCGGCGCACGGGUGCGUAACGCGUAUAGAACCUACCUUUUACAGAGGGAUAGCCUUUAGAAAUGAAGAUUAAUACCUCAUGGUAUUGAGACUUGGCAUCAAGACUUAAUUAAAGAUUUAUCGGUAAAAGAUGGCUAUGCGUCCUAUUAGCUAGAUGGUAAGGUAACGGCUUACCAUGGCGACGAUAGGUAGGGGCCCUGAGAGGGGGAUC
rnacentral:rRNA from 1 species